AGAGUUUGAUCCUGGCUCAGGACGAACGUUGGCGGCGUGCUUAACACAUGCAAGUCGAGCGGGGCUUAGUGAAAAGUUUACUUUUUACUUUGUCUAGCGGCGGACGGGUGAGUAACGCGUGGAUAAUCUGCCUGUAAGACAGGGAUAACGCCGGGAAACCGGUGCUAAUACCCGAUAACCUCUUUGGAUCGCAUGGUUUGAAGAGAAAAGGUGGCCUCUGGUUACAGAUGAAUCCGCGUCCUAUCAGCUAGUUGGUGGGGUAAAAGCCUACCAAGGCGAAGACGGGUAGCCGGCCUGAGAGGGUGAACGGCCACACUGGGACUGAGACACGGCCCAGACUCCUACGGGAGGCAGCAGUGAGGAAUUUUCCGCAAUGGGCGCAAGCCUGACGGAGCGACGCCGCGUGAGGGAUGACGGCCUUCGGGUUGUAAACCUCUUUUAUUGGGGACAAAAAAGAAGACGGUACAAUAAGAGGAAGCCACGGCUAACUACGUGCCAGCAGCCGCGGUAAUACGUAGGUGGCAAACGUUGUCCGGAAUUACUGGGCGUAAAGGGCGAGUAGGUGGUUUAUUAAGUCAGAAGUGAAAACUCCAGGCUCAACUUGGAGACUGCUUCUGAAACUGGUAGACUUGAGUGCAAGAGAGGGAAGUGGAAUUCCUAGUGUAGCGGUGAAAUGCGUAGAUAUUAGGAGGAACACCAGUGGCGAAGGCGACUUCCUGGCUUGUAACUGACACUGAGGCGCGAAAGCGUGGGGAUCAAACAGGAUUAGAUACCCUGGUAGUCCACGCCGUAAACGAUGAGUGCUAGGUGUCGGGGGUAUCGACCCCCUCGGUGCCACAGCUAACGCAAUAAGCACUCCGCCUGGGGAGUACGGUCGCAAGACUGAAACUCAAAGGAAUUGACGGGGGCCCGCACAAGCGGAGGAGCAUGUGGUUUAAUUCGAUGAUACGCGAGGAACCUUACCUGGGCUUGACAUCCCGUGACAGCUAUGGAAACAUAGUCUUUCGCCUUCGGGUGAACACGGAGACAGGUGGUGCAUGGUUGUCGUCAGCUCGUGUCGUGAGAUGUUGGGUUAAGUCCCGGGGGGGGGGGGACCCCUGUCCUUAGUUACCAGCACGUAAAGGUGGGAACUCUAGCAGAACUGCCGGUGACAAACCGGAGGAAGGUGGGGAUGACGUCAAAUCAUCACGCCCCUUACGACCAGGGCCACACACGUACUACAAUGCCCGGUACAGCGAGUUGCAAAGCCGCGAGGCAGAGCUAGAAUCUUUAAAACCGGGCCAAGUUCAGAUUGGAGGCUGCAAUUCGCCUCCGUGAAGCUGGAAUCGCUAGUAAACGCAGAUCAUCAUGCUGCGUUGAAUACGUUCUCGGGCCUUGUACACACCGCCCGUCACACCAUGGGAGCCAGUAACACCCGAAGCCGGUGAGCUAACUUAACGGAGGCAGCUGUCGAAGGUGGGAUUGGUGACUGGGGUGAAGUCGUAACAAGGUAACC
rnacentral:rRNA from 1 species